rnacentral:sRNA from 1 species
UUUAACUAUUUGUUAGCCAGUCGUUAUGUAUUGUUUAUAGGCGUAAUCCAGUCAUCUGGAUUUGAGUGGCUCCUAUCCACUCUGUUUGACGCCUCCCUGUUAGAACUUGAGCCGCAGGCAACUGUGGCUCAUUUUUU